AUGGCACCACAGCAUACACAACCCCCUCCAUUUGCUGUCAUUCAUAACGUUUUCCAUGUUUCUCAACUGAAAUUGUUUCCCAAUCCACAAGGCCAAACUGUACAGCAUAUCCCAGACGAAACGCAAGUUAUUGCCAAAAUUCAUAUUGCAAUUCUUGACAGAAAAAUGGUGAAACGUGGACGAAUUGUUGCUACAAAUUCUGAGACUGAUUGUUGUGUGGUGACUUGUGAGUGGUUGUUUUCAUAG